CUCUGGGCACGACUGAGGCUCAGGGCGGAAAGAG
ncrna:unclassified sequences L31-Firmicutes ribosomal protein leader